AUUUACCUGUUAAUGGAAACAUUUCCUUUGUAAAUCAAUAACAAUUAACAAUAGUAAUUAUGUUAUUACUGAUGAUAAAAUAAUAACCAUAACGAUGCUAAUAUUAACAACAACAACAUUAAAACAUUAUUAAUAUUUCCGAUAACAUUAACAGAAAUAACAGUUAUCAAAGAUUAAAAGAGUAAAACCGAGUGUUAAUUUAUGCACCUUCACCUCUACUCAUUUUUUCCACAUUUACAGGCAAACGAGACAAAAGAAAACUCAGCAGCUCUUCUCCCCGUUUGCUCGUGUUUCCUCAGGAGAGGUUGCAGAAAUGGAAUAUUGCUUUAAAAUUGCACCAGAACUUGCCUAUAGAACGCUCAUAGCUGUGUUCCACACACGUUACGGAUGAGGGCUCUUAAGGAACUGGACAGACUGUUCAACUGAAAACAGUUUUCUUUCAUAAGAUGGAACGACAAGGACAUGGAUGAGGAUACCAACAGCACAUCAUACAACCAGGAUGGAAGUUUUGAUGAGAUCAGCAUAAAGGAAGAAAACAACAUGGACGACUUUAGUGUCUUUGUGAAUGAAGAAGAAAACCAGGAGUGUACAGAAAAAGAGAAAGAAGAGUUUGAUCCUCUGGGGGAAUUCCAGUGUCAGCAGGAAGAAGACGACUCCAACCAAGAUUUAACACUACUUCAGGAAAAGAUCCUGAAACCGAACAACCAUCAGCCUCAGAAACUUGCAUACAACCUUGCACCUCAGCAGAGAGCCUGUGGACACCAGCAUCCAUUCUGAAACCUGUAUCUGAGAGGACAGUAUCUUGCACACCAUCUCCAGUGUUUAAAACUACCUCACCCGCUCCACCUCCCCAGCCAAGCCCAGUUGCAGCUCAGCCUCCAACUGAAAUGACUGGAGCACUGGAUCCUACAUCAGUGCCAGUUAGCAGUAGUAAGAGGAGGAGGACGGAAGACCCUGCAAAUGAUCUUGGUGAAUUUCUUAGUGACCAAGCUUGCAGAUUGGAAAAAUUGGUCUACAUCACUGAGAGAAGGAACCACAUAAUGGAAAAAUGUAUGAACCAAAUGUUACACAAUCAACAGAUGCAAAUACUUCAGCAGCAACAAGAUAUUUUGCAACAGCAACAGGAACAGAGUCAGAGAGUGCAAGAAAGACUACAAAAACAGCAGAAACAACAGUAUCAGGAAAUGUUAAAUUUGCAAAGACAGCAGUUCUUGAUAAUUAAAAAAUAUUAAAGAAGUGAGUCAGUAAAGAAAUAUUAUCAGUGAAUUUAAAUAUAUUGCCUUCAUUUAGAACUUAGCUAGUACCAAUGGAAUAUAUUAUAUAUUUUUGUAUAUUUGAUGUUUAUCUUUAUUUUGAAAUAAAGGUUCAAUACAAGUGUUUGUUUUCCUCAUAUUACACUAGCAUGAUGUAAAUAUUGGCCAUACCAUGGUAAUAACAACAGGGAAGUUAUACAAUUUCAUGGGAUAUCAAAUUUAUUGUCCUAUUUUAUAUAUAAAACAUAUAUAGAAUAUAUACAAAUUAAGCAUUAGGUUUUACCUGAGCAUAGAGACUUAAACUGUAACAAAUUCUCCUACUAAUCACAGCUCAAAUACCCUCCAUAAUGUUUUCAUCACACUGAAAACUAUUAUUCAGCAGACUAUAAAGGAUAAGCUAACAUAAAAAAAUAACCACUGCCAUUGCCUUCAUUAAGGAUAAGGCAAAAUUAACCGGGUUUAUAGAUCUGAACUAAUCUUCUUUAGUUAAAUAAUUCAAUAGAUUUGACCAUUUGGUGUAAAAUAUAUGAACAUUAUAAAGCUGGUUAAAAACAUAUAAAGUUUGAAAAGAGUUCUUUUAAGAAAAUUCUGCUAAAAGAUUAGCUAACUGUGAGAACAAAUAACCUAACAACUGAAACUUUAACUUAAUGAACAAUACCACAUAUGAUUCAAAAAAAAUAUAUAUUGAAAACAUGACAAAUGAAUCAUACAAGUUUCCACUGGCUUUCAGUGGGACAGUACAUUUAGUGCUCUGUUUUAGUUUAAUCUGCAGCCCCCAGAUAAAACAACUGGAAGCUGAUUAGGCAAGCCUUUGAACAAGCCUGAGGUCGGCUACACACAAUCACAUGCCAAGCGUUGAAUUUCUUUCCAAAUUUUUGCAAUGUUUUAUAACCAUGAGGAUCAUUUAGGGCUAUCCCAUUGAUAAAAUAAUAAUUUACAAAGGGAUAGUGUCCAGCAUGGCAUAUUCAUCCUAUUAUUACUAAUAUUAUUAUUAUUAUAAAAAAAAGUCUUGGAUCAGAUCUAUGUCUAAAAACCUAAGCAUAAUUUUGUAUGGCCAAGGAAUCUAUAAACUUGUCCACUGAGGUUGAAAGUCUUGUGGAAAAUCAAGUAAUCAAAUAAACUUGGAGACAAAAGAUUUGCUAAAUAAUGCAACAAGUGAUUUUGUUAUAAGACUAAGAUCUGUAUGCUUAAAUAAAUUGUGAAAAACAUAUUUGUAAAAUUGAUAUUCAAACACUGAUCCAAAACUCUUUUUGAUGUCUGUUGUAACAGAAAAAAAAAAAAAAAUGAAAGGGGAAAUCGGGUGAUGUCAUGAGGUCUACUAAUCAACUCUUUGGUGGCAGAGCAUUGUGUACAGCCAUUUCACAGAACAAAACUACAGUGAACAUUACUCUUUUGGCAUUGAGUUAAAGCCUCAACAUGAGGCAGUAUGUGCCUUGCAAGAAACCGCUUCCCAUAUGAAAGUCAUAAAUGACCAUCACACUCUUCCAAGAAGAAUGAAAAUGCAAAAAACUCAUUAUGAGUAUUUUGAUACCAAAAACUGUAGCAACUAAUAUAAACACUUCAUAUUACAAGACUUACUUUUUCUAUAUCUAACUAAUUAUUUUAAAAAUGUAAUUCCUGAGUGUACUAUUGUCUUUGCUAGGUCAUUCCUUUUUUGUUGCACCUCUUUUGCAUAGAUAUUUGUGAAAUGCAGACUUAAUGCAUUUCUAUUCUUGGGCUCGAUAUCAACUGGACUACUACCAUAACCUUCCACUUUUAAAAUAAUAUUGUGUAAAACACAUGCAGCUGCAAUAAUUUCUGGCACCUUUUCCACUAGCUUCAUGUCUAAAUUUUUAGUCGUCUAAAUUUAUGUUUAAGGAGUUGAAAAGCUCACACAUUAAAUGUCUUUUGCACAUCUGUAAGGUUUUCCUUAUCUUCAUAAGGCACAAUCAAAUAAGAUGUUAAAGGAUAUGUUUCAUCCUCAAUAAUGUGAUACAAAAGAGGCAAAUUGCCCUUUGCAGCAAAGCUUGCAGAAGGCUGUUCCUAAACACGCAAGCAUUGUGCCCCAAUCCUGGCCACCCUGUUGUGAUGUCUAAGAACUGUAAGUUGCUAUCACAUACAGCUUGAAGUUGCAUGCUUGUAAUAUUGUCCCUGUUUUUAUAUGCCUCCACAUACUGUGCAGGAACUGGGAUGCCAAUUUGUGUGCCACCAAAUACCCCUACAACUCCUGGGAAUCCUGUUUUCUUCAUGAAAUCAUUUGCCACCUGCUCAGGCUGGUGCUUUUGUGCACCACAGACAUUCAUCAGGAAAGUUUGCAGUGUCUCUACUCUAAUUUCAUAUCUCUCUGCAACUUCUUGGAAUGACUCCUGGUUGCUCAACAGCCAUAAUAUUGUCAAAAUCUCCUUCUCUGCUGUCAAAAAAUUAUUACAGAUGUGUGUUGCCAGCAGAAAACAUAACUCCUGUCAACCGGGACACAUGAAAAACAUUUUAUUUUGAUGCCAUGUAAAAGUACUUAAUCUAUAAACUGCUGACUUCAGAUAUAUUAAAUACAAAUCCACAUGCCAUUUAUUAUAAUGGUGAAGUGAAGAAGCUAACAAUAAAAGUAUAAAUAACAAGCCAGGCAGAUCUUACUAAAAGUUUCUAACCUAAUAUCAUACAAAGGAAUCAGGUUCAGAUAGAUCACUUGUUAAUGAUGUGUACUACUCGCUCAUUUUAUAUUUGAGGCUUACCAGUUACAUUGAAAGUACUGGUGCUAACAGCUAGGUACAGCAUGAAGUAUACCUGGAAAACUGCUUGUGAUCUUUCUUGCUAGGACAUACUGAAGGGAAGGUUAUGCAGUAAGGAGGGCAAUAUACUACUUACUAGGGAAGAUAUACCCAGAAAUAACACAUUUUGUCUCUCUCUUUCUUUCUUUUUCUUUAUUGUGUAUGUUUUUAAUAGAAAAAAUA
rnacentral:misc_RNA from 1 species